rnacentral:lncRNA from 1 species
GGGCAGGGGCAGGGGCAGGGGCUAGCAUAGCUUGUGUAGCUAGUAUUGCCUUUAAGUUGUUGCAUUUAAGCUUGUGAGUUGGUGGCCUGGUUUAUGCUUAUGGGCGACAAUUGCAUGAAAUGCUGGGUGACAGGGGUGACAAUAAUGCGCGCAGGCUUGAGAGUGGGACUUCUGGGCCCAUAAUACAUUGAAAUUCGUAUCCGUCAGACGGCAAACAACCAGGAAUUCACAUGGCGAAGUAUAAGC